rnacentral:rRNA from 1 species
UGGGGAAUAUUGGACAAUGGGCGAAAGCCUGAUCCAGCCAUGCCGCGUGUGUGAAGAAGGUCUUCGGAUUGUAAAGCACUUUAAGUUGGGAGGAAGGGCAGUAAGUUAAUACCUUGCUGUUUUGACGUUACCGACAGAAUAAGCACCGGCUAACUCUGUUCCAG